CUCGUAGGCGGUCUGUUGCGUCCGCUGUGAAAACCCGGGGCUUAACCCUGGGCUGGCAGUGGAUACGGACAGACUAGAGGUAGGUAGGGGAGAAUGGAAUUCCCGGUGUAGCGGUGAAAUGCGCAGAUAUCGGGAGGAACACCGGUGGCGAAGGCGGUUCUCUGGGCCUUACCUGACGCUGAGGAGCGAAAGCGUGGGGAGCGAACA
rnacentral:rRNA from 1 species